CAGAAGACAAAUACAGAACAAAACAUAUCAAGUCAGCAUUUUGGAGUCCUACCUCCUGUCACUUUAAAAGGAUAUGAAAUUCUUUGUCCCCAAAGGCUGUUGUUAGGUCCUUCAAAGCUGUCACUUCAGGAUCCACAAGUAACCCUGCAUCCUGAGUGCGUAGAGUUCUGGUUGGAUAAUAAAGGUUCCAUGAGCGCUUUGAGAUAAGAUAGUGCUUGGCCAUUUAGUUGACUCCACAAGACUCUAGAAAGGAAGAAGUCAAUAAAACACAUCCUGCUCUUUGUGGGGAAGACACAAGUACAGCAAUGUCUGCCUGAAAGUGAGUGCAUAUACAGAGGUUUACAUAGCAUUACAUAGCAAUUUAGUAACCACCACAGUAACCAGUUU